ensembl:lncRNA
CUAUGGGGUGGUGUGGUUAGCUCAUGAGGGGAACUCUUACCACAGACAAGCAGCUUCUCUAGGGGCUUCUGAGAGAGCAGAAAUAUUGCACUUCGAGUGAAGUGUCAUAGAGAGGGAAGCAAAUGGUUCCAUGGAACAACCUCCUUGAGCAGGGUGAGCCCUGCCUCCAACUUCGGGUGCUGAAAUCGGUGGAAAGUCCCUCAGGAUUUCAAGAUAUGCAAAAAGUAGAAAAUUCCCAGCCUUUAAGUUCCUGCUGCUCAGCUCCUGACAUUGCUGCUGGAUGCUUCAGGUGUUAAUGUACAGCUGGCUUCAUUCACAAGCCUCAACGCAUUCUGUAACGUAACGGGGCCGAAUUCAGAUCUGGUGCAAACAGCUGAGGCUCCAUUCACACUACAUGGAGCUCAGCCUUCUCAUUAGUGUCUCCUUCUACGGAAAGCCUUCAAAAUCUACAGCAGAUGGAAAAAAAAAACAAGAAGCUCCCUCCUACUCCUUCCAACUUCAACAAGCUGCGUUUUUUUUUCAUUCAUAAGCACCGGGGCUAUUAAUAAAAUUUGCUGAAUGAGAAUGGUUAACCCCAAAAAGUGACACAUACCUUACGCUCUGCGAGCCAACAUGACAACAGUCAAAACAGAAGUGGGCCCUUUCAGUGCAUCAGCACGUAACGCUGUCUGCAGUUUGGAGAAAAAAUAUCAGACGACGUCCUAUCAGCUGCAGACAGAUGAGUCACUGGCAAGCUGGAGGCGAGCAGACCUAAAGUCACCUCCAGCCUGCAAAACACUUCCCGUCUUCAGUAAGAAGUGCUGGAGGAUUCCGUCAAUGAAGCGAAAUGCCUGGCAAGCAGAUGUGUGGUGUGAGCACACUGGGUUCCUGCCCUCUCCCAGGGCACUGGGGGUGGGGUGGUGAGGAGCAGGGGUCAAAGGGAAGGUGGGUUUCUCCUGCAAGAUUUGUCCCUGAGCACAAGAAUGCAAAGCCUGCCCUACUAGAGGAAGACAGUGGAUGAUACACAAAUGUUUUGGGCUGGAAAGUGAGAAAGACUUGGUCUGGUUGGGUUUCUUUCUCUGAUCUCAUCAAGCAACACGGAGCACAAGAGGGGAAACUGAGGGAACUGGCAUUGUUCAGUCUGGAGAAGAGGAGGCUCAGGGGAGACCUUAUGGCUCUCUACAGCUCCCUGAAAGGAGGUUGCAG